UACAGAGGGUGCGAGCGUUAAUCGGAAUUACUGGGCGUAAAGCGCGCGUAGGCGGCUUUGCAAGUCGGGUGUGAAAUCCCCAGGCUUAACCUGGGAACUGCAUUCGAGACUGCAUUGCUAGAGUAUGGGAGAGGGAAGUGGAAUUUCCGGUGUAGCGGUGAAAUGCGUAGAUAUCGGAAGGAACAUCAGUGGCGAAAGCGACUUCCUGGACCAAUACUGACGCUCAUGUGCGAAAGCGUGGGGAGCAAACAGGAUGAUGAUACCGGGUACGGUCAGACCAA
rnacentral:rRNA from 1 species